GAAAUCGUUCAUCGCGUGGACAACGCGUGAGUAAUCAUCUCCCGCGGAUGGAGUUCCUCGCCGUUCCUCUCUCUUUUUCGAUCAUCCAUCGAUCCCAUCGCCCCAAAUUCUCCGCAAAGCUUCAGGUUUUUCCACAAACUCUAAUCAGUCCUUCCGUAAUCCGACCCCAAUCCUUGAGCUCAUCGUCUUCUCGUAUUCAAGCUUGUGCUCUCAAUGAAUCCGAUCGGGAUCGUGUUCCCGAUGAAGAAGUGAAGGAUUUGGGGGUCAAGGCCGCUCUUUCUAUGCUGAAAUUCUACAAGAGGGAGAUAUCGCCAUUACUGCCACCGAGCUGUCGGUAUGUGCCGACAUGCAGCCAGUACUCCAUGGAGGCGUACAAGAAGUAUGGAGUUGCCAAAGGUACAAUCUUGACUGCUUGGCGUCUCUGUCGAUGCAACCCUCUUGGUGGGUCUGGGUUUGAUCCACCUCGCUGGUUUGGUGAGGAGAAUAAAUCUGAAGAUAUGUAGAUAUGUUUCCUUGUGCUUCAAAGUUCAAAACAAGUUGCCUAGCAAAAACAAAACGUCUGGAAAACAGGGGACCCAUUGAUGGGUUUGAUGUUCACUUUUUCUUUAUGGUAUCUGUGAAGGGGUCCAUUCUCUACAAAAAGACUAGGAUCAUGUGAUGUGUUCUACUGCUCAAGGCCUUGGACGGUGAUAGGACACCGAGUUGGUACUAUGUCCAACUUUUCAAAAUCAUAGUGCAUAUCCUGAGACAUAAUACAUUUUAAAAAGCUUUUUAAAAAAAAAAUUAAAGAAGUUUUGUCUCUUAUAAAGCUAUCAUCAAAUGUAGUAUGAAUUCAAUAACACCGACAGGUAAUGAAUUUUAAUUUGUUUCUUUAUCA